rnacentral:lncRNA from 1 species
UCCCAAGUGCUAAAAUUAAAGGCGUGCGCCACCGCCGCCCAGCUAGAUUAUAUAGUCUUUAAUGGAAAAUUACUGCUUAAGGCUCCUUUGCCUUUUGGUGUGCUGGUUACUGAUAGAUGAUCUCUAGGAAGGACCUUUAUCAGAGAUCAGAAGUGUAGUGUGUUUGCAGAGAUUAAAGAUCUUGUGUUACAGAGAAAACGGGAGCCGGGCGUAGUGGCGCACACCUUUAAUCCCAGUGCUCGGGAGGCAGAGGCAGGUGGAUUUCUGAGUUCAAGGCCAGCCUGGUCUACAGAGUGAGUUCCAGGACAGCCAGGGGCUACAGAGAAACCCUGUCUUGAAACACCCCCCUCCCCAAAAAAAAAAGAAAAGAAAAUGGGAGAGAGGGAAAAAACCCCAGAAGGACAAAGGUAAAAGAAAUGUUGCACGUGUUACAUGCAAACAAACAAAACACACAAAGAAAAACUCGUAUAAACUCUACAACUGCUUAUAUCAGCUUUCAUAUUUGUCACUACAGGGGACAAUAUGAACUCUUACUGUUACACAUGGAAUAGCACUUAGGAAAUCCCACCUGUGUGCCCACCUGGUGUUCAUGGCCUUCUGUGGUUCGUCUUGUGCAGGGUGUGCAUGCUCUCAUAUUACAGAACCUACCAAAACAUGACAAUUUGGCGUAGUUCUUUCCAGAAGUUUCUUAUAGUUUUCUCCUAACAUUUCCAAGUAUGUAGCAUGUCUUAUUCCUUCUUGGAAGAGAUAACCUUUCCAAGGUCUUUCUCAUGGGUUCUUCUUGAGUGACAGCUCUUCACAUGAGCGGCUGCUCUGGUCUCUCUCCUUCAUGACUUUAACCUUGUGAGUGCACUGCAUUUCUUUUUAAGACAAAUUUGAAUCCCAGCUGCAGCUUUUUCUUACUGAAUCUCAAAAAGAUCCCAUGUUUUCACUUUUUCACAGGCCUACAGUCUUCCCUGUUUUUCUUUUAUACAGUAUCACAGAUUAAGCUUCUAACAAGAAGGCUUUCUGGACUUGAAGCUUUCUUUUUUCUUAGAAUGACUGUCUGUGAAAUCUGAGCACCUUAAGACUUUGCUCACCUAUAGAGUCCUGCCAUGGCCUUUCCUGACAUAGACGUCGGAGUGUCCUCUCUGCCUCCCUCUUCCUCCUUCCUCCCUGGCUGGGACAUUAGUCUUCAGAGAUAGAUAGAUUUAUUUAUUUAUUUAUUUAUUUAUUUAUUUAUUUAUUUAUUUAAUGCACAUGAAUACACCAUUGCUGUCUUCAGACACUCCAGAAGAGGCCAUCAGAUCCUAUUACAGAUGGUUGUGAGCCACCAUGUGGUUGCUGGGAAUUGAACUCAGGACCUCUGGAAGAGCAGUUGGUGCUCUUUACUGCUGAGCCAUCUCUCCAGCCCUUUAGAGAAUUCUUAAAUUCAAGAUUAAUUCUCUUUAUAGAUUCUUAGUGAGACAUAUGAACUAUUCAUAAGACCAUUCAAUUCCAUUUUAGAACUUGCAUGGAGCGUAAAUUGUGCUUGUUUCUGGAAGAUUUUUCGUGUGCACCGUAUGCACUAGAGCAGAAGACAGUUGUUUUAGGAUUUGAACACAUAUUUCAGAAGAGCUUAUGGUAGAGCAGCUUAUAUCAGUAACAGGACAGUAUUUUAUACUUUAACUAUACUCCAAUAAAAAAAGUUGCCAGUUUUUUUCCUUAGACUCACAGUACCUGACUCCUUACCUUAUCUGUCUUUGCUUGCCAUAUGUAAAGAAUUUAAACCAACUUUGCUCAGGCAAAAACUUAGUGAGAAGAGAAAUGAAUACAUUUCAGGGAUCCAAAUAUAAAUUGCUUUGUGUGAUCACUAGUUUUAGAUUAACAGUACCAUAUUUGAAAGGAUAACUGAGAAUGGACUUGCAAAUGAAGGGAAGUCAUACCGCUGUGUGUAAUGGGAAAUUCUGAUGUCAGUCAUGUGUUUCAUUUAGAUGUCCCUGGUAGAUUUGGGGAAGAAGCUUUUAGAAGCGGCACGAGCCGGUCAAGAUGAUGAAGUUCGCAUUUUGAUGGCAAAUGGAGCUCCUUUUACUACAGACUGGGUAAAGAGUGAUCUUAAUGUCAUAGAAUUGCUUUUAUUUCCACCUCCUCUUCUGCUUCUCUCUUCCUCCCAGAUAAAAGUUAAUCUGAUAUUUAUGCUGAACCAUUUCUUCAGUCCCUAAUUAAACUGUCUUUUAAAUUAAUGGCUCAUAUUAUUUUCUUGGGGUUUUUUUUAAAGAUUUAUUUAUUAUAUGUAAGUACACUGUAGCUGUCUUCAGACACUCCAGAAGAGGGCGUCAGAUCUUGUUACGGAUGGCUGUGAGCCACCAUGUGGUUGCUGGGAAUUGAACUUGGAAGAGCAGUCAGUGCUCUUAACUGCUGAGCCAUCUCUUCAGCCCUCAUAUUAUUUUCUUAAUGAUAGACAUUAUCCACUCUAUGAAUAAACGUUAUUUGUUUUAAAGAUUCUAGACUAUACUAGUUUGGUGUGAUUAUAAUAUAUAGCUCCCAAGGAACGAAUCAAUAAUUCACAAAGUAACAAAGAUGGAGUUUCAGCUGCUCCUG